rnacentral:rRNA from 1 species
UACGAAGGGGACUAGCGUUGUUCGGAAUUAUUGGGCGUAAAGCGCGUGUAGGCGGCUCGGUAAGUCUGCUGUGAAAGUCCAGGGCUCAACCCUGGAAUGCCGGUGGAUACUGUCGAGCUCGAGUCCGGAAGAGGCGAGUGGAAUUCCUGGUGUAGCGGUGAAAUGCGCAGAUAUCAGGAGGAACACCAAUGGCGAAGGCAGCUCGCUGGGACGGUACUGACGCUGAGACGCGAAAGCGUGGGGAGCAAACAGG